rnacentral:rRNA from 1 species
UACAGAGGUCUCGAGCGUUGUUCGGAUUCAUUGGGCGUAAAGGGCGCGUAGGCGGCGGGGUAAGUCUGGUGUGAAAUCUAGGAGCUCAACUCCUAAACUGCACUGGAUACUGCUCUGCUGGAGGACUGGAGAGGAGACUGGAAUUCACGGUGUAGCAGUGAAAUGCGUAGAUAUCGUGAGGAAGACCAGUGGCGAAGGCGGGUCUCUGGACAGUUCCUGACGCUGAGACGCGAAAGCGUGGGGAGCAAACAGGG